rnacentral:rRNA from 1 species
UGGUGGAGUGAUUUGUCUGGUUAAUUCCGUUAACGAACGAGACCUCCGCCUGCUAAUUGGUGGAGUAAAUGAAUUUCAUUUACUUGUACUUCUUAGAGGGACUUUUGGUGACUAACCAAAGGAAGUUGGAGGCAAUAACA